rnacentral:rRNA from 1 species
GGAGGGUCCAAGCGUUAUCCGGGAAUCAUUGGGGUUUAAAGGGGUCCGUAGGCGGGCAAUUAAGUCAGAGGUGAAAUCCCACAGCUCAACUGUGGGAACUGCCUUUGAUACUGGUUGUCUUGAGUUAUAGUGAAGUAGAUAGAAUAUGUAGUGUAGCGGUGAAAUGCAUAGAUAUUACAUAGAAUACCGAUUGCGAAGGCAGUCUACUAACUGUAUACUGACGCUAAUGGACGAAAGCGUGGGGAGCGAACAGGAUUAGAUACCCUGGUAGUCCCACGCCGUAAACGAUGGUCACUAGUUGUUGGGGCUUUAUGCCUCAGUGAUUAAGAGAAAUUGAUAAGUGACCCACCUGGGGAGUACGAUCGCAAAGAUUG